rnacentral:rRNA from 1 species
UACGUAGGGAGCAAGCGUUGUCCGGAAUUAUUGGGCGUAAAGAGCGCGCAGGCGGUAUGACAAGUCAGAUGUGAAAGAGGCCGGCUUAACCGGCAAGGGUCAUUUGAAACUGUCAGACUAGAGUGCAGCAGAGGAUAGUGGAAUUCCCGGUGUAGUGGUGAAAUGCGUAGAUAUCGGGAGGAACACCAGUGGCGAAGGCGACUAUCUGGGCUGCAACUGACGCUGAGGCGCGAAGGCUAGGGUAGCAAACAGG